AGUAAAAUGUCUUAUAGAUGUAGUUCAUGCUUUGAUAAACCCGAAUCGACCUGAUUUGUUUCAAAAAAAAAAUUUAGGGUUUUUUUUUUCAAAUGUCCUCUGAAAAUGUUUCUUAAAACUUCACUUGUUUCUUCAAAAUCAUCUUUCAAUGUUAGAUUUUCAUCUUCAUCUAUUCUUUCUUCAGUUUCCCAAAAUCAACACCCCAAAUCACCACCCAAACACAUCUUCACUCUUAAGCACCAUUCUCAACUUUAUAAUUUCCUUCGUGUAAACUGCAGGUCAGGUAACUUUUCUCUUGAUGAAGCUUUUGAUUCCUUCAAUUAUAUGAUUCAUAUGCACCCAACUCCUGCUAUGUCUUCUUUCUGUAUUUUGUUUUCUGCACUUGUUAAGAAAAAACAUUUUGAUCAACUUCUUGUGAUGUACACGAGAUUCAUUUCAGCUGGGUUGUUGCCGGAUUUCAUUAUUUUGAAUAUUUUAAUUGAUUGCUUAACCAAAAUGGCACGCGAUUCUGAUGGUUUUGUAGUUCUUAGGAGUAUUUUUAGGAGGGGUUUUUACCCAAACGCUUUGACUUUUACCAAUCUGAUUAAUGGUCUUUGUAUGGAGGGCAAGAUUAAGAAGGCCAUUGAAUUUUUUAGGAAAAUGGUUUCGGUUGGUUGUAGACCGAAUGUGGUUACAGUUGGGACUUUGAUUACUGGGUUGUGUAGAACUGGUAAUGUCACUGUUGCCCUUCAGUUGUUUGAAGAAAUGAAUAACGGGAAUGGUGAAUUUGGUGUCAUUUGUAAGCCUAAUAUUGUUUGCUAUACUACAAUUAUUGAUGGUUUUUGCAAAUAUGGGUUAGUAGACAAGGCAAAGAAACUGUUUUCAGAAAUGAAGACCAAGGGCAUUAAUCCAAACGUGAUUACUUACACCACUCUAAUUUAUGGUUUGUGUAGUACAUCUAAUUGGGAGGAGGCUAAAACUUUGUUUAUAGAGAUGUUGGAGGAAGGUGUAAAACCUAAUGUGGUGACAUUUAGCGUGGUAAUUGAUAAGCUCUGUAUCAAUGGAAAGAUGGAUGAAGCCAAUGGGUUGUUCCAACUAAUGAUUAAUAGAGGUGUUUGUCCCAACACAAUAACUUAUAACACACUUUUGAGUGGUUUUUGCUUGGCAGGUCAAAUUGAUGAUGCUGGAAGGCUAUUUGAUUCCAUGGCAAGUAUGGGGUGUAAGCUUGAUGUUUUUAGCUGCAAUAUUUUGAUGGAUGGUUUAUGCUUGACAAAUAAAAUUGAUGAUGCUAAGGAAGUUUUGGCCUCAAUGUUGAGUAUGGGAUGCACACCUAAUGUAGUUAGCUAUAAUACUCUGAUCAAUUGGUAUUGCAAGAAUAAAAAAAUUGAUGAAGCCUUGAAUCUUUAUGAGGAAAUGACUUCAGAGGGAGUUAGGCCAGAUGUUGUUACUUAUAGUACCUUGCUAUCUGGGUUUUUUAUGAACGGUAAUGUCAGACAUGCAAAAAAGCUAUUUGGGAGACUCAAUAUUGCUUGGGAAAUGUUCAACAGAUUACAUAGUAAUGGCUUUGUUCCUAAUGUUAUUACAUAUAACAUUAUAAUGCAUGGAUUUUGUAAGGAAGGAAAGUUAGAAAUGAAUAAUGAGACUUUAAAAGUGGUGGAACUUCUUCACAAAAUGAAAGAGAGAAAUGUGAAACCAGAUGCAUCCAUAGGUUCAAUAAUAUUAGAUUUACUGGGAAAGCAUGAAGAUUAUCGUGAAGUCCUGAAUUUGCUACCAUCCUUUUCAACCCAAGAACCAACAGGAUGUUGAUUGUUGAGUAAGUGCAUUUUCCAGGGGAGUAUAGCUUAUCAAGAGAGCCCUGGCAAACGUUAAAGUUUCCAUGUAAAGGAAAAUACUGACGAAGAUGCUCGUAAGGUUGUAGAUGGUUUGGCACCUAAGGCCACUGAUCAAAAUGAUGCUAUUGAGAAAUGGUAUGAACAUGAAUGUCUCAUCUGUGUACUCUUAGUGCUACUUGUAAUAUACAUACAUAAAUAUGGUCUCUACAUUUGUUCGUUUUUACCAAUCAAUGUUAGUGGGAAUCUUUAUUUCUUUGGAGAGAUGAAUCCCCUUGAUGAAGUCUCUAGUAAGAAGUUGGUGGUAGCUGAUGCUAAGUUGAACUUCGAUGAUGAUGCUGCCUUCCUGGUAGAAGGGAAUCUCUCUUGUGAUCCAUCACUAGAGGGUCCUUGAGAGGUUUCGAUACAUUUACUUCUCGAUUUAUUGUUUACGUGGAAUAAUUAUUCUUAAUAGUAACUGCCAAACAAGUACACGAAGAUUCAAGUCUGGUUAGUGAUUAAGAGAGUUGUGGUGCUUUUUGGAUA